UACAGAGGGUGCAAGCGUUGCUCGGAAUCAUUGGGCGUAAAGGGUAGGUAGGUGGUCUCAUUUGUCUCGGGUGAAAGCCUUGGGCUUAACCCAAGAAGUGCCCGAGAAACGGUGAGACUGGAGUCCUGGAGAGGGUCGUGGAAUUCCCGGUGUAGCGGUGGAAAUGACGUAGAGAUCGGGAGGAACACCAGAGGCGAAGGCGGCGACCUGGACAGGUACUGACGCUGAGGCACGAAGGUCAGGGGAGCAAACGGG
rnacentral:rRNA from 1 species